GACGUAGGGCGCGAGCGUUGUCCGGAUUUAUUGGGCGUAAAGAGCUCGUAGGCGGCUUGUCGCGUCGUCCGUGAAAACCCACAGCUCAACUGUGGGCUUGCGGUCGAUACGGGCGAGGCUAGAGUUCGGUAGGGGAGACUGGAAUUCCUGGUGUAGCGGUGAAAUGCGCAGAUAUCAGGAGGAACACCGGUGGCGAAGGCGGGUCUCUGGGCCGAUACUGACACUGAGGAGCGAAAGCGUGGGGAGCGAACAGG
rnacentral:rRNA from 1 species